ACAUCUGGGAUUAAGGAUGUGGAGGA
rnacentral:misc_RNA from 1 species